rnacentral:lncRNA from 1 species
AUAGGUAUUUUGAUGGUGCAAGUUGUAACAGGCCGUAGAGAAACUAGUUGGUGGGGCAGUACAAGUGGCUUCUCCUUCAGCAAGUAAGAGCACCUACCAUGUACCACACUAUGAAAUAGGCACUGGGGUUACAGAGAAAGUGGGAACAGUUUUGGCCUCAUGGAACUAACAGAGGAAGCGGUCAUGCGAGCAGAUCCCAGAAUGGACCUCUAUAAUGAGGAUGAUGCAACCGGGGCGUUUAUAGGAAAGCUGUGCUCACUGAAAACCGUAACACUUGAUCAGAUGAUAACGAAGUCAAAUGCUCCAAAAUAGGAACUGGACGAAGGGUGAUGUUUCAGGCAGAGGAAAGUACUUUUGGGAAAAUAGCAAGCAGUUUGGCAGGGCUGCAGCCAAGAGAGAAUGGAAGUGGGACAAGAAGUGACGCUGAAGCCGCCUCAGAGCUCAGACCCAGGAAGGCCCCGAGGUGCCUGCUGCGGAGUGCAGGUGAGAUCGUGGAGAUGCAGAUGCUACCAAUGUAAAUGUGCCACACCUAAGCUCCACAGCACCCUGCACUGAUACAGCACAUAGCCUGCAUCUACAGUGGAACAGAGGUUCGUUGCCCCAACUAGACCUUGGGACUUUAGUUCCAUUUGUAGUUAUGACAUAGUUAAGAAACUUAGUUAUCUUCCCCUUAAGGAUUUUUCCCCAUGGGAUGCAGGUAAAAAGAUUGGUGUUUUAGUGUUUGAUACAAUUUAUACCUAAUUCUAAUUUUCUUUACUUUGGUUUUACCUAACAAGUUAGCAGAAGUAAGAUCAUGUGAAGUAAUACAAUAAGGUGCAC